GUUGUUGCGUUUUGUUUUGUUUUGCAGGUGACAGUGGCUAUCAACGCCGGCGUGGAAUGGAAGGGAAGAAAAGGCUGAGCCAGAUCUUGUUGUUUCCAGUUUUUCCGGGCGGCGCGUGAGCCCACGCGCCGCCAGUGACGGUGGCGCGUUGGAACACGCGCCGCCAGCUGUUCCUGUCUCCAAUUCCUGUGCAGAAGGGUUCCCUUGCAAUUUCAGACUGUUCUAGGUCGGUUUUGUAAAAUUUGAAAUUAUUUUAUGUAAUUUUUAUUUAUUUUUUAAUAUUGUAAUUUAUAUUGUGGAUGUAAAAAAAAAAGAAAAAGAAAAAAAAAAGAAAAAGAAAAAGAAAAAGAAGAAAAAAUAAAAUAUAAUAAAAAAUGUGUGUGUUUGUAUUUUUUUUAUUAUGUUAUUGAAUUAUAAAAAUAAAAAAACAAAAAAAACAAAAAUGCAUGUUUGUAUUUAUUUCAGGAUCUUUUCAUGAUGAGACGGCAAAAGAAUAAAGAAGGAAUUAAUAUUUUGAUCGGAUCACGGUGUAGAAGUACAAACUUGUACGAAAGUUGUAUUUCUAAAUUCCGAUGAAAAGACAAAAUUUUUAAAACUUCUUUAACACAUCACAACCACGAAGCAGCUUACCUCAGGUAGGGUGCGUUAGGGGUGCUAAUACCUUCCCUAACCACAAUCAGUCCCUUACCCGCGAAUCUCUGACAAGACCAGUCAACUUGGGUUUCCUAGUAACCCUCAAUUAAAUACUAGGUGGCGACUCCUAACAAAAUCAAUUCCAAUAACAGAGAGAAAAAACCGCCAUCGCCAGGACGGGGACGCCGCGCGGGUGUUUUCCGACGUGCGACAGAAUGGCGACUCCACUGGGGAGGUAUUGUUUCUGACAAUAUUGGACUAAGCUUUGUGUAUUUGAUGUGUUUAAUUUUUGCCAUUUUUGUCUUGUUUUAUUUUAUCCAUGCAUUUUUAGAAAUGUUUCAUGCAUCACUUGUAUUUAUUUUUGAAAGCACACACAAGCUUCUAAGCUAGGUGGGGAGUAGCGGUCUGCCUCAUGACUUUCAGUCGGGGUUUAGAUUCGUGAAACAUCCAACUAUGAGCUGAGUGUUUACUUGGUAAUGGCGGUCACAGGGUGCCCUAACCAUUCCUUGUAAACCCCUAUACUGCCUUCACGAGAGGUGGUCACUGGGCAGCUCAUAGACCCUUUUGAGAUCAGGUAGAAAACCCAUCCAUGUUCACAUAAUAAAUAGAACAUGUCCUGAGGUUGUAUGUGCUAUCAUUUAUCUGCAUUGGGCGAACCCUUCUUGAAGCAUCUUGAAUUCAAGACUUGUGGGUGACAGAAUGAUCGUCACUCUGAAAAUUUUCAUUGUAGAGUUUGGGCAAGAAUCAAGAUUCUUGUUUCAUCAUACAAAAGUGACGAUCAAAUGUCACCCCUCGAAGGGCAAGUUCAUCAUAUAGAUUGCAUGUUCAUACAUUUUCUCAUGCAUGCACCAGAAUAAAAGGUGUCCCCUAUGAGUCUGCAACACCCAAUUUUGAGCGAAAAACAUGGGAGAUAAAAAACGUGCUCGUCGCAGCACUCAUUUUCAAAAAGAGUUGGAGUCUCUGAACAAAAGCUUGACUUGCCUCUAGCUUACUCGAGCAAAAACUGAUUCCUUCCAACUGACCUAUCAUCUUUGUUCAACCCCAACAACAACUCAACCCAAAGAAACUGGGGGGCAAACAUGAUCAAAAGCCUCAACACAAUCCGAAGGGGAAUUGCUUCACAGAAUGGAGCCAGUUUUUGUUCUGCUCAAAAAAAAAAAAAAUCAUGACCCCUGCUUGAUCAUGCCUGCAAAAAUUUUCUUGAUUUUUUCAACCUAUUCCAGUUUUUGUCGGUAAUUUGGCUCAAAAUGCCACAAGACUUUCUCUGUCAAAUGAGCCUUUCCUGUUAAUAAAAUCAUGUGUUUUUUUUUUUUUUUUUUUUUUUUGUGUUCAUGCAAAUAACAUACUGAGCACACCUUUAUACUUACAAAACCAUUGCGCCAAGAAUUCAUUGGUGUUUUCCCUUUUUCCCAAAACAACAAGCAUGACCCCAUGUUUUCACAAGGAUUUUUGGAAAAUCAAAGUUUAGUACAAAAACAGAAAUCAUGUUGGUGUUUGUUUAAACAAACAAGUUCUGGAAAUUCAGGUGAUUCCUUAGAGAGGUAACCAUACACCUAGAAAACCCACAAAAACAAAAACACCAUGAAGUGACUCCAAAAGCGGAGUUUUAUUUGCAUGAAUAAUGAGAAAUCACUCUGCAUACUCGCAUGAAAGCAAGGCUUACUGAUCCUAAAUGCAUGCAUUUGAGAUGAAGAAAGGCCAUCUUUGAUAAUACUUUCACAAGGCUGAAAUAUAUCCUUUGCAGUCCCCUUUUGAGCCUAAUAAAUUUUUCUUGAAAAAUAACCUUGGCUAGGAUCACACCCUACACUGGGGGGCAAGUGCCAAAAAAUCCUUAAUGAUUGAAAGUGCCCGAAUAACUCUUGGGGGCAUGAAAAACCUCAACGAUUGAAAGUGCCCAAACAAUACUGGGGGGCAUAAAAGAAAAUUCUCAAUCAUCGAAGGUGCCCAUGCAAAGCUGGGGGGCAUGAAAAAAAUCCAAAGGAUCCGAAAUUCUGAGCAUAAAAAAAAGAGUCAAUGCAAUGGUGCUCAAAAUCAAAUGAAGAAAACAAAAACAAAGAGAAAGAGCCCAAGCCCAACAUUGGGGGGCACCGUGGACCAUUUUACAAAUCAAAUCAAAGGUCCAGAAGUGUAUGAACAAAAGAGUUUGGGAUAUAAGCACUAGUGAUCCUUAGUCUUAAAGUCCCUUAAACACCUUUUGAGCCUACGAAUAUCCUUUUCUUCAUAGCCAAUAGCCCAAGCCUACAUUACGUGCCUAAUCAAGCCCUUUCUAAUCAAAGGCAAGCAAUUUGGAUCGGUAGGCAGUGCUUUCUCAUGCGAAACAAAAUCAUUAUUCAUGCAAAUAAAAUGAAUGCUUUGAAACACAGUUCUCAAUGACCCUCAAAUUGAAAUUUAAACCUUUUUGACCAACCUGAUGUCACUUCGUGUUCUUCACAUUUUCAUCGAAACACGGUUCUCAUUAACCCUCAAAUUGAAAUUUCAACCUUUUGUGACCAACCAAAUGUCACUUCAUAUUUUUCACCAAAAAUCAAAACAAAAAGUUUUCAUCACUUCUGAAAACCUCUCCAUAGGAAUCACUUGAAUUUCUGCAGAAUGAGUUUGCUUUGAAUCAAUAUCAAAAUGAUUUUUGCAUCUGGAAUAGCUUUGAAAUUCCAAAAAUUCUGCAUGAAAACAACUCCUUCCUUCACAUAACCUCAUCCCCAAACCUGAUUUGAAUACUUGCGGGCAUGAUCAAGCUAGGGGCAAUCAAAAACAUCUGGCAGAGCUAGCUCCACGAUUCCCUUUCUGAGAAACUAUUGGGCAAAAUUGGCAACCCUUGAGAUAAAGGGGUGAAGGACAAAGAAAUAUGAUGAUAUCAAGUCCUUCCAAGUGGUCAAAAUCACAAGAUAUGACUCGAGUAAGCAAGAGCGAGAGCCAUCGAAGCUUACUAUCAGAGACUCAAACUUUUGAGGAAAGGAGAACUCCAUGAAGAAAAGGGGACCUAUAUUUCUCAGGUAAGUAUACAUGCAUAUUGAUCAUGAUGCAUUACUUUCAUCCUGGACAGAUCAGUGUCUCACCAUCACCUCUUGAUUGAGCGGGCUGUUAAGCCCUCAACAUUUAGAUAGUAUGCUUUCUAGCCCUAUCUGCCUCCCUUUUUAGUGGGCCUUCGAGCCCUCACACCUUAGGUAGAGUGUUUUCUAACCCUGCCUUUCUUUUUAGUGGGCCUACGAGCCCUCACACCUUAGGUAGAGUGUUUUCUAACCCUGCCUCCAUUUUUGAGUGGGCCUUCGAGCCCUCACACCUUAGGUAGAGUGUUUUCUAACCCUGCCUCCAUUUUUGAGUGGGCCUUCGAGCCCUCACACCUUAGGUAGAGUGUUUUCUAACCCUGCCUCCCUUUUUAGUGGGCCUUCGAGCCCUCACACCUUAGGUAGAGUGUUUUCUAACCCUGCCUUUCUUUUUAGUGGGCCUACGAGCCCUCACACCUUAGGUAGAGUGUUUUCUAACCCUGCCUCCAUUUUUGAGUGGGCCUUCGAGCCCUCACACCUUAGGUAGAGUGUUUUCUAACCCUGCCUCCAUUUUUGAGUGGGCCUUCGAGCCCUCACACCUUAGGUAGAGUGUUUUCUAACCCUGCCUCCCUUUUUAGUGGGCCUUCGAGCCCUCACACCAUAGGUAGAGUGUUUUCUAACCCUGCCUCCCUUUUUGAGUGGGCCUUCGAGCCCUCACACCUUAGGUAGAGUGUUUUCUAACCCUGCCUCCCUUUUUAGUGGGCCUUCGAGCCCUCACACCUUAGGUAAUGUGUUUUCUAACCUUGCCUCCCUUUUUAGUGGGCCUUCGAGCCCUCACACCUUAGGUAGAGUGUUUUCUAACCCUGCCUCCCUUUUUAGUGGGCCUUCGAGCCCUCACACCUUAGGUAGAGUGUUUUCUAACCCUGCCUCCAUUUUUGAGUGGGCCUUCGAGCCCUCACACCUUAGGUAGAGUGUUUUCUAACCCUGCCUCCCUUUUUAGUGGGCCUUCGAGCCCUCACACCUUAGGUAGAGUGUUUUCUAACCCUGCCUCCCUUUUUGAGUGGGCCUUCGAGCCCUCACACCUUAGGUAGAGUGUUUUCUAACCCUGCCUUCCUUUUUAGUGGGCCUUCGAGCCCUCACACCUUAGGUAGAGUGUUUUCUAACCCUGCCUCCCUUUUUGAGUGGGCCUUCGAGCCCUCACACCUUAGGUAGAGUGUUUUCUAACCCUGCCUCUUUUUAAGUGCGCCUUAGGGCCAUCAACCACCUUGUGUAGUGUGUUUUCUAACCCUACCUCCUUUUGAGUGUGCCUUCGAGCCCUAACCUUUUAGGUAGUGUGUUUUCCAACCCUGCCUCUUUUUUUAGUGCGCCUUAGGGCCAUCAACCAUCUUAGGUAGUUUGUUUUCCAACCCUGCCUCCCUUUUUGGUGGGCUUUCGAGCCCUCACAUCUUAGGUAGUGUGUUUUCCAACCCUGCCUCUUUUCAAGUGCGCCUUAGGGCCAACAACCACCUUAGGUAGUGUGUUUUCCAACCCUGCCUCUCUUUUUGGUGCUCCUUCGAGCCACCAACCAUCUUAGGUAGUGUGUUUUCCAACCCUGCCUCUUUUCAAGUGCGCCUUAGGGCCAACAAACAUCUUAGGUAGUGUGUUUUCCAACCCUGCCUCUUUUAGUGCGCCUUAGGGCCAACAACCACCUUAGGUAGUGUGUUUUCCAACCCUGCCUCCCUUUUUGGUGCUCCUUCGAGCCACCAACCAUCUUAGGUAGCGUGUUUUCCAACCCUGCCUCUUUUCAAGUGCGCCUUAGGGCCAACAACCAUCUUAGGUAGUGUGUUUUCCAACCAUGCCUCCUUUAGUGCCUCUUCGAGCCACCAACCAUCUUAGGUAGUGUGUUUUUCAACCCUGCCUCUUUUCAAGUGCGCCUUAGGGCCAACAACCAUCUUAGGUAGUGUGUUUUCCAACCAUGCCUCCUUUUUAGUGCGCCUUAGGGCCAUCAACCACCUUAGGUAGUGUGUUUUCCAACCCUGCCUCCCUUUUUGGUGCUCCUUCGAGCCACCAACCAUCUUAGGUAGUGUGUUUUCCAACCCUGCCUCUUUUUUUAGUGCGCCUUAGGGCCAUCAACCAUCUUAGGUAGUUUCUUUUCCAACCAUGCCUCCCUUUUAGUGUGCCUUCAAGCCAUCAAUCACCUUAGGUAGUGUGUUUUCUAACCCUGCCUCCUCUUUUGAAUGUGCCUUCGAGCCCUCACCUCUUAGGUAGUGCGUUGUCCAACCUUGCCUCUUUUUAAGAACUCCUUCGAGUCCUAACCUCUUAGGUAGUGUGUUUUCCAACCCUGCCUCUUUUUUAGUGCGCCUUAGGGCCAUCAACCAUCUUAGGUAGUUUGUUUUCCAACCCUACCUCUUUUUAAGUGCACCUUCGAGUCAUCAAUCACCUUAGGUAGUGUGUUUUCUAACCCUGCCUCCUGUUUUGAAUGUGCCUUCGAGCCCUCACCUCUUAGGUAGUGCGUUGUCCAAACCCUGCCUCUUUUUUAGUGCGCCUUUGAGCGCUCACCUCUCAGGUAGUAUGUUUUCUAACCAUACCUCCUUUCGAGUGCACUCUUCAGCCCUCGAGUCAUAUCAUGUCAUUUCAGACAUUUUUUCUUUUCGCCCGGGUAGGUCCCCCAUUAUAAUCAGACCUUAUUCAAAACACUUUUCAUAUUCCAUUUGGGCCGGUUGCCCAUAACAAUGAAACCAUUUUGAGAAAUCCUUGCAUUUCUCCCCACCUUCAAAUUUUUCCAUGAAACCACUUUGAAAAAUAUUUGUAUUUUUCAUCAUUUUGAGAAAUCUUCGCGUUUCUCACCACUCUGAAAAAAUUUGGUAUUUUUGAAAAAAUCUUUGUAUUUUUCAAAACUUUUCAACCCGGGCAGGUCGCCCAUUACAACAAGACCACUUUUGAAAAAUCUUUGUAUUUUUCACCACUUUGAAAAAUCUUUGUAUUUUUCACCAUUUUGAAAUCUUUUCAUUUUCAACCCGGGCAGGUCGCCCAUUACAACAAGACCACUUUUGAAAAAUCUCUGUAUUUUUCCCCACUUUGAAAAAUCUCUGUAUUUUUCCCCACUUUGAAAACUCUUUUUAUUUUCAACCCGGGCAGGUCGCCCAUUACAACAAGACCACUUUGAAAAAUCUUUGUAUUUUUCCUCACUUUGAAAAAUCUCUGUAUUUUUCACCCCUUUGGAAAAUCUUUGCAUUUUUCACCACCUUGAAAAAUCUCUAUAUUUUUCACCACUUUAAAAUCUUUGUGUUUUUCACCUAGGUAGGUCACCCUUUACAAUGAGACCAUCUAAAAAAAAAAAAAAAAAUUUCACCGGGUAGGUCACCCAUGACAGUUCGACCAUUUCAAAAUCUUUGAAUUUUCAAAAACUCUUCCAGUUUUUACUCCGAGUGCGCUUCCUAGCCCUCAAGAGGAUUCAUCAUUCCUCAACAAGAUGAGUCAAUCAUAUCUCAUCCUUUUUUUUCUUCUUUACAAAGCUUACUAUCUAAAGUCUCUUACGAGACUUUCUACCAUAAGCAUUGUAAAGAGGGGGGCAACUGUCAUCACCCAAUUUUGGGUGAUUCCCCAAAAUUCAUUUUUUUCCCAAAAAUAAAAAAUAAAAAAAUAAAAUAAAGGUUGGCAAUGCGGAGAAAGCCGACCAAGAAAGGCUGCAAAAUAGGCGGAAAUCAAGCUGCAAUUUUCGGAGGAAUUUCAAGGCCCAAGUGUACGCUGUUAGGCCCAAAAAUAGAAAAAUGCAAAUUCAAAGGUCAAAUUAAAUGAGUAUUGGACGAAUUUGCAUAAAAAUUAAGUCCAAUGACAUAAUUAAAUUUUUAAUGGGCCAAUUUGAUUUAAUCAUGGGCCAAAUUGAAUUUUAAUUAUGUUCAAGAAUUAAUUUGGGUCCAAUUGAAGGAUUUAAUUAAGUGCAAGGACUUAAUUAUACUUUAAGCGGGUCAAAUUAAUUUGAGGGCUUAAUUGGUGAAAAAUUAAGUUUGGGAGCUUAAUUUGGACUUAAUUGAAAAAUCAGAAUUUUAAGAGACCCAAUUUAAUUUUUACCAAGUGAAUUGAUUGAAAUUAGGGGUCAAACACAAAACUUGAGGGACCAAUUUGGAAGCCCGAAAAAACUACUUUGCCUAUAAAUAGCCUUUAUUUUCAGCCAAACAGGAGAGGGGGGCAUUUUUUGACAAAAAAAAAAAAAAAGGGAAGAACAAACCCUAAAAAACCUAACCCACCUAACCCUACAAAACUUGUUCUUCUUCUUCUCCAAGAGCAGCCGCCGCCCCCCACCGGUGGUUUCCAUUUUUCCUCUUCCCUCUCCGUCUUUUACCUCCUGCUCAGCCGUCCCAGCUCUCCCUCUCGGCUAUUUCCACCUUCCUUCUUCAUCUCAGCCGCCGCCCCCCACCCGGUUGAAACUUCCUUCUCUCUCUCGGCAAAAGAAACCGGCCGCUCAACCCAUUUUUGCUGGCUGCCUCUCCAUCUUCUCUACCAAGACAGGGGCCAGCAUCUUCUCCCUUUCCUCCACGCCAUUUCACCAUUUUCCUUCCCCUCUCCACAGCUGCUCCCCACUCCAUUUUCCUCCACACAAGCCGCUGCUCCCCUCUCACAAGUUUUUCCUUCGGUUUCUCCUUCCCUUCAGCCUCCUCCCUCUAAACCAGCCAAACCAAGGAGGAUACAACCGCCAACUCCUGCCCCAAAGAAGCAGAACCGGCCACUCCCCAGCUUUGAUUUCUCACACCCAGCCGCCGCUGGAACCUUCCCCUCUCUCGGCCGCUCACUUCUCUCCGUCAAAAUCGGAGGCCGGCUGCUGUUCCUUUCUUCCCCAAACCGAACACGGCGGCAGCCCCAACUGCCUUCUUCUUAGCCGUCUCCAGAUCCUCCCCCAGCGGUGGCAGCAGCAGCAGCAUCGCCAACAGGCGUGGGGCAGUCCGCCUUCUCCCUUCACCACGACAACCGAAGACCAGCAGCAGCAAACCCAUUACCUCCUUCGGCUGAGCAGCGCCGUCCACACCGUCGCCCACAGGUCCAUCUCCUCCUACAACCGACCGAGACAGAGGAGGAAAAACCCAAAGGAAAGCAGAUCUGUAGAGACAAAAAAGGGACCCAAAACGGAGAAGAAAUUAACUGCCAUCUGUUGUGUUGUUGCGUUUUGUUUUGUUUUGCAGGUGACAGUGGCUAUCAACGCCGGCGUGGAAUGGAAGGGAAGAAAAGGCUGAGCCAGAUCUUGUUGUUUCCAGUUUUUCCGGGCGGCGCGUGAGCCCACGCGCCGCCAGUGACGGUGGCGCGUUGGAACACGCGCCGCCAGCUGUUCCUGUCUCCAAUUCCUGUGCAGAAGGGUUCCCUUGCAAUUUCAGACUGUUCUAGGUCGGUUUUGUAAAAUUUGAAAUUAUUUUAUGUAAUUUUUAUUUAUUUUUUAAUAUUGUAAUUUAUAUUGUGGAUGUAAAAAAAAAAGAAAAAGAAAAAAAAAAGAAAAAGAAAAAGAAAAAGAAGAAAAAAUAAAAUAUAAUAAAAAAUGUGUGUGUUUGUAUUUUUUUUAUUAUGUUAUUGAAUUAUAAAAAUAAAAAAACAAAAAAAACAAAAAUGCAUGUUUGUAUUUAUUUCAGGAUCUUUUCAUGAUGAGACGGCAAAAGAAUAAAGAAGGAAUUAAUAUUUUGAUCGGAUCACGGUGUAGAAGUACAAACUUGUACGAAAGUUGUAUUUCUAAAUUCCGAUGAAAAGACAAAAUUUUUAAAACUUCUUUAACACAUCACAACCACGAAGCAGCUUACCUCAGGUAGGGUGCGUUAGGGGUGCUAAUACCUUCCCUAACCACAAUCAGUCCCUUACCCGCGAAUCUCUGACAAGACCA
rnacentral:lncRNA from 1 species